GCCAGAGUGGUGUUGUGGUCUGAAUGUUAGAUUCUGACUCUGGAAACCAGGGUUCGAAUCCCCACUUGGCCA